ACGGGAGGCAGCAGUGGGGGAUAUUGCACAAUGGGGGGAACCCUGAUGCAGCGACGCCGCGUGGGUGAAGAAGCGCCUCGGCGCGUAAAGCCCUGUCAGCAGGGAAGAAAAUGACGGUACCUGAAGAAGAAGCCCCGGCUAACUACGUGCCAGCAGCCGCGGUAAUACGUAGGGGGCAAGCGUUAUCCGGAUUUACUGGGUGUAAAGGGGGCGCAGACGGCGAUGCAAGCCAGGAGUGAAAGCCCGGGGCCCAACCCCGGGACUGCUCUUGGAACUGCGUGGCUGGAGUGCAGUAGGGGCAGGCG
rnacentral:rRNA from 1 species